UACGGAGGGUGCAAGCGUUAUCCGGAUUUACUGGGUUUAAAGGGUGUGUAGGCGGACUUUUAAGUCCGUGGUGAAAUCUCCGGGCUCAACCCGGAAACUGCCAUGGAUACUAUUGGUCUUGAAUAUUGUUGAGGUGGGCGGAACGGGUCAUGUAGCGGUGAAAUGCAUAGAUAUCCGGAGGAACACCGGUGGCGAAGGCGGCAUCCUGGACCGGUAUUGACGCUGAGGCGCGAAAGCGUGGGGAGCAAACAGG
rnacentral:rRNA from 1 species